rnacentral:sRNA from 1 species
ACCAUCCAGGGAAGACACCCUCUCUGGACCCCCAUCAGACCAAAGAGCAGAAGAUUCUGCAGGAAACUCUCAAUGAACUGGACAAAAGGAGAAAGGAGGUGCUGGAUGCCUCCAAAGCACUGCUAGGCCGAUUAACGACCCUAAUCGAGCUACUGCUGCCAAAGUUGGAGGAGUGGAAGGCCCAGCAGCAAAAAGCCUGCAUCAGAGCUCCCAUUGACCACGGGUUGGAACAGCUGGAGACAUGGUGAGAGGUACCACCCCAACCCUCAUCCUCGCCACACGCUGUGAUUUGUUCACAGCUGGAGCAAAGCUGUUGUUUCACCUAAGGCAGCUGCUGAAGGAGCUGAAGGGACUGAGUUGCCUGGUUAGCUAUCAGGAUGACCCUCUGACCAAAGGGGUGGACCUACGCAACGCCCAGGUCACAGAGUUGCUACAGCGUCUGCUCCACAGGUCUAGAGGCCAGGCAGGAACCCUGGGGGAAAGAAGGAACAAGGGAAGCCAUUCUUACAGAUACUGAGCUAUAUAUUCUCUCCACACCU